CUCCUGUAUCGCCUAUUCCUCAAUGGCAUUUAUUCCAUUCAUUUAUGGAGCUGGGGCUGACCCAUCUUUCAAAGUUGAAUUUUAAGGUUCAAAAGACAUGAGAAUAAGUCUUGCAAUUGGAGCAUAAAGAGCUCCAUGAACAAGUAAAAACGAUAGGGAAGAACUCUACCUUAUAUAUUUUAUUUCUCCUGCUGCUGCUAUAAAGGUCAGUUUCUAUGGGACAAAAUUUAUGGUUUCCUGUAUUCAACGUUUAAGGAGGUAGAUUGGGUACUGCAGCCAUCUCGCAUCAAGAGCCAAGAGUAUCUGAAUAAAGAGAAUCUCUAUCUAUCUCUCUAUCUCUUUUUGUUUGUUCCUUUUUUUUCCUAUUGAAUGAAACCAACAGUCAAAUUUGUUUUUCUUUUUUGCUUUGGAAUAUAUAAAAUUAUGAAAAUGCACUUUUGAUCACAUCUUCAAAUCAAACACAUAAUAUCAACGAAUGAUUCCAUCCUUUCUCAGAGCUAGCAGAGAAUUAGUAAUAAUGAGAACAAUAACAAUAAAAGCAACAAUGACAACAAUAAAAGCAAUUAUGACAACAAUAACAAUAAAAGCAGUUACGACAACAAUAACAAUAAAAGGAACACACUACAAAUUCUGUAAGAAAAAGAUCAAUGGAUAGAGAUCAAACCUAUACAUGUGCUCAACAAAGUCAUCUAUUAAAACAGGCCAAGCCC